AUUCUGAUUCCUGAAUGUGGGAUUCUGUCAAAAGAACUGAAAAACCUAGUCAUGGAAACUGGACCCUAUUACUUUGUGAAGAACUUACCUCUUCAUGAGUUAAUUACACACGAAUUCAUCAACACCUUUGUGAAGAAAGGUUCGUGCUGUGCACUAACAUACAAUACAAAUAUCGAUGAAGAUAAUACUGUGGCCCUGCUGCCAGACGGUAACAACACUCACUUUCUCUUUAAUUUUAAAAGAAAUACU